rnacentral:lncRNA from 1 species
CUUUGUCAUGAAGUUGUACAUAUAAAUGGUUCAAAAUCAGAGAAGAAGAAUGGAGACAUUAAAAGGUCUCUAGAGAAGUUCAGACUCAGCUUCUGCCUUAUGCCAACAAAAUUUGAAAAACCUAUGGAAAGAGAGAAAACAACUGGCCCAAAAUCUAAGGAUAGAAAGUAUCUCCAGGGAGAAAGGAGAUUUGCACCCAUGAUCAUCUGAAGGUAGAUACAGGUCUGAGCAGACAGACAGAAGCCAGCACAACUGCAGGAGAAAUGAAAUGAGGUUCUAAGCCACCUUACAGCUUAUAUUGGCCCCACCAGUCUUUUUGUUCAUUGGUUACGUGAGUCAAAUUUAUAUCCCUAAAUCCGGAAUAUGCUGCCUCCAGAAUCCAAAGAAGCCUGAGAAGCAUGGUGAUUCCUUCUUAGUGGUGGAAAGAAUGAGUUAUACACAAGAUGAAUGGAUUAACCACUGGAAGACCUGCACUACUACAAAUGUUAAAGAAAGUCCUUCCAAGAAAGAAAAAAGGCAACUUAAUGGAAACUUGUGUCUACCAAAUGGAAAGAAGAGCAAUGGGAAUCCUAACUACUUUUGUCCAUAGCUAGAUCAGCCUUUGUGACUGAAAGUCCAUGUCGCUUAGUCCAUAAAAACCUCCAUUUCUGCCACUAUAAC